UACGUAGGGGGCAAGCGUUGUCCGGAUUUUUUGGGCGUAAAGCGCUCGCAGGCGGCUUGAUGCGUCGUGCGUGAAACACCCCGGCUCAACUGGGGAGGGUCGUGCGAUACGGUCAGGCUUGAGGCCAGUAGGGGGACGCGGAAUUGACGGUGUAGCGGUGAAAUGCAUAGAUAUCGUCAAGAACACCGAUAGCGAAGGCAGCUUACUGGGCUGUAACUGACGCUGAUGCACGAAAGUGUGGGGAUCAAACAGG
rnacentral:rRNA from 1 species